UACGGAGGGGGCUAGCGUUGUUCGGAAUUACUGGGCGUAAAGCGCACGUAGGCGGAUCAGCAAGUCAGGGGUGAAAUCCCGGGGCUCAACCCCGGAACUGCCUUUGAUACUGUUGGUCUGGAGGUCGAGAGAGGCGAGUGGAAUUCCGAGUGUAGAGGUGAAAUUCGUAGAUAUUCGGAGGAACACCAGUGGCGAAGGCGGCUCGCUGGCUCGAUACUGACGCUGAGGUGCGAAAGCGUGGGGAGCAAACAGG
rnacentral:rRNA from 1 species